UGGCGGCACUAGCGCGGUGGUCCCACCUGACCCCAUGCCGAACUCAGAAGUGAAACGCCGUAGCGCCGAUGGUAGUGUGGGG
rnacentral:rRNA from 1 species